UUCCGCAAUGGACGAAAGUCUGACGGAGCAACGCCGCGUGAGUGAUGACGGCCUUCGGGUUGUAAAGCUCUGUUAAUCGGGACGAAAGGCCUUCUUGCGAACAGUUAGAAGGAUUGACGGUACCGGAAUAGAAAGCCACGGCUAACUACGUGCCAGCAGCCGCGGUAAUACGUAGGUGGCAAGCGUUGUCCGGAAUUAUUGGGCGUAAAGCGCGCGCAGGCGGAUCAGUCAGUCUGUCUUAAAAGUUCGGGGCUUAACCCCGUGAUGGGAUGGAAACUGCUGAUCUAGAGUAUCGGAGAGGAAAGUGGAAUUCCUAGUGUAGCGGUGAAAUGCGUAGAUAUUAGGAAGAACACCAGUGGCGAAGGCGACUUUCUGGACGAAAACUGACGCUGAGGCGCGAAAGCCAGGGGAGCGAACGGGAUUAGAUACCCCGGUAGUCCUGGCCGUAAACGAUGGGUACUAGGUGUAGGAGGUAUCGACCCCUUCUGUGCCGGAGUUAACGC
rnacentral:rRNA from 1 species